rnacentral:piRNA from 1 species
UGACUGCCUUGUUAUGACCACCU